AUUGAACGCUGGCGGCAGGCCUAACACAUGCAAGUCGAACGAGUGGCGGACGGGUGAGUAAUGUCUGGGAAACUGCCCGAUGGAGGGGGAUAACUACUGGAAACGGUAGCUAAUACCGCAUACCAUCGGAUGUGCCCAGAUGGGAUUAGCUAGUAGGUGGGGUAACGGCUCACCUAGGCGAUGAUCAGUAGCCGGUCUGAGAGGAUGAACGGCCACAUUGGGACUGAGACACGGCCCAGACUCCUACGGGAGGCAGCAGUGGGGAAUCUUCCGCAAUGGACGAAAGUCUGACGGAGCAACGCCGCGUGUAUGAAGAAGGCCUUAGGGUUGUAAAGUACUUUCAGCGGGGAGGCGUUACCCGCAGAAGAAGCACCGGCUAACUCCGUGCCAGCAGCCGCGGUAAUAC
rnacentral:rRNA from 1 species